rnacentral:tRNA from 1 species
UGGAGUGUCGCCAAGCGGUAAGGCUCUGGUUUCUGAUACCAGCAUACCGGGGUUCGAAUCCCUGCACUCCAGCCA